CAAGAGGAUUAAGGAAUUGAAUGACAAAUCUUCAUCAUCUUUAUCUAAGAGAAAAGAUACUUUGAAAAACUCUCUGAAUUUCUUUCUUAAACUAUUGAGGAAAGAUUGCACAAUAUCUAAUUGUACCCCUGAUGAUCUAAAGCAUUUUCUGGUAUGGAAGGAUGGUUUUGGUAAAACACCAGUUCAUAAAAUAAAUUGUACAUUUUUGGGUACUAAAGAAUAAGGAAGUUGUGAAUGCCCAAGACGAUUAGCAGCUGGGACAGUAUCGGUCUUUUACGAAAGUGGUCGUGGUAAAUUCUGGGAUGAGAAGAGUGAUACAGGUUACCCUGCAGUGGCACAUUGCAUCAAACAGUAUGUGAAACUUAUUCAAGAGGAACAAGCGGCAGCACAUGUAGUUCCUAAGCAGGCAAAGUGAAUCUGGCUUUAUCUGGUUCGGUUACCAAUGUAGGACAAAUGAUGAACCAUGUGGGAUGGUAUGGAGAGGGAACAGCAGAAUAUUAUAGUAGAUUGCCAGCUUUAGUGGAAUCUGAUUAUAUCGCAGGUAGAUUAGCAGACAGUGCAGGUCAAUGUGAUUUUGUGGAAGAUAUGUUCCAACAAUAUGAGGAUUUUAAUAUUUUGCAAAAAGCUUUUCAUUAACGAUAAGGCCUUAAGAAUAUCAAUACAAUUUAGGGAAUAAGAAAGAUCCUUUGUUUUCGAAUUUAUCAUCUACAUCAUAUUAGGAUUUUGUAGAACUGUUUGUUUUGUAAAUAGCAGUGACGGUUAAUUUGUUGUUGAAUAAAAUUUUGUAGAUUUACUGUAUAACUUAUAACAGUGAUAAGUUGAAAGAAUGUCAAAUCUAAAAUUUGAAAAUAAUACAUAUAAUGUAUUUUAAGCAAUAGUUUUAUCCCAUUUAAAUAACUUGUGUUUUUGAUCUUUAAGUUCAGGAGUAUGUUGAACAGACUGUUUGUUACUCAACAUAUAUUGUUUAGAUUAAUUUUAUGAUUAUGAGUAUUGUGAGGAGUGAAGGCACUUAUGUUACAAUGGUGAUUGUCUAGGGAAGUGUAAUACGUCACCGCGAAAGUGAUGACGUCAUCUUUCUCAGAGCUGUACUAAUGAUACUGAAUAUUGAGGAUGAGCACAGUAGAUGGCAUUGCUGGUUCAGCUUAUCCAUGAUUUUACCCCACCCACCCCACCCUUGUAUAUGUUCUUGUUCUCAGUUCAUGAUAAAUGACUACAUUUCCUAAUACUUGAGAAGAACUAGAGCAGGAACGUAUACACUUGGGAUAGGUAUAUCGUCUUUGGAGGUACGCAGUGAUUCCUCCGUAUGUAUAUAGGCGGGGAAUAUGGUUGUUUGAUAACCACCACCAUCGAUCUAUACACGUGGGGACGGUCUUAUAAAAAGGAUUUGACCUAUGCUGAGAUUGCGUAAGUUGUAGAAUGAUGCAUUAGUAUGCUUGCAGUGCAUUGUACUUGAGUAACAGCUGUGACUUGAGCUUUGAUUAUAAUGUGGCGCUUAGUCUUUGGCAAAUCUCUGAACACAAGUCAUCUUUAUCUUGGAUGUAUAUAUUUUUUUAAAGUUGUUCUAAAUUAUUUCCAAUAUUAUUUUCAGCCCCAACCAGAUCAUGGGGUUUACACAGUAUUUGUUGAGCUUGGGGAAACAAAAAUAGAGCUCUUUUAAAAUCCUCUUGGAGACAGAAGUCCUAUUCAAAACUUUUUGGAUAAAAAUAAAAGUGGAGGCAUGCAUCAUAUCUGCAUUGAGGUAGACAACAUUAAUGAAGCAAUGAAAGACAUCAAAUCUAAAAGAAUAAGACUUCUGAACGAAGAAUCAAAGAUUUGGGCUAAUGGCAAACCUGUGGUAUUCCUCCACCCCAAGGAUUGUAAUGGUGUGUUAGUAGAACUGGAGCAGGUGUGAAGCUUUUUGACACAUAUUUCCCCCUGAAAUGCUCAGAUAAUAAAACACCUCUACCUAUUUCUUUUAAAGAAACUUAAACUUGUUCAAACUGAGAAUUACACCAGGUAA